GGUGUUUGGAGAAGCAAUUUACUGCGCUCUUGAAUGUCACCACCGAUAUGAUAAGGCAAGCCACAGUUAGCGAAUGAGACGAAUGGGCCGCGUUCAAACAUGAUGAUCUGAGCGUCUUCACUUAAACGUCGUGCACGUGCUGCGGCUGAAGCGCCACCUGCAACACCAC
rnacentral:antisense_RNA from 1 species